CAGAGGCGAUGAAGGACGUGCUAAUCUGCGAAAAGCGUCGGUAAGGUGAUAUGAACCGUUAUAACCGGCGAUGUCCGAAUGGGGAAACCCAGUGUGAUUCGUCACACUAUCGUUAACUGAAUACAUAGGUUAACGAGGCGAACCGGGGGAACUGAAACAUCUAAGUACCCCGAGGAAAAGAAAUCAACCGAGAUUCCCCCAGUAGCGGCGAGCGAACGGGGAGCAGCCCAG
rnacentral:rRNA from 1 species